GCGAACGCUGGCGGCAGGCUUAACACAUGCAAGUCGAGCGGGCGUAGCAAUACGUCAGCGGCAGACGGGAGAGUAACACGUGGGAACGCGCCCUUCGGUUCGGAAUAACUCGGGGAAACUUGAGCUAAUACCGGAUACGCCCUAACGGGGAAAGAUUUAUCGCCGAAGGAACGGCCCGCGUCGGAUUAGCUAGUUGGUGAGGUAAUGGCUCACCAAGGCGACGAUACGUAGCUGGUCUGAGAGGAUGACCAGCCUCACUGGGACUGAGACACGGCCCAGACUCCUCCGGGAGGCAGCAGUGGGGAAUAUUGGACAAUGGGCGCAAGCCUGAUCCAGCCAUGCCGCGUGGAUGAUGAAGGCCUUAGGGUUGUAAAGUCCUUUUAACGGGGAAGAUAAUGACGGUACCCGUAGAAUAAGCCCCGGCUAACUUCGU
rnacentral:rRNA from 1 species